rnacentral:rRNA from 1 species
UACGUAGGGCGCAAGCGUUGUCCGGAAUUAUUGGGCGUAAAGAGCUCGUAGGCGGUUUGUCGCGUCUGCUGUGAAAACCUGAGGCUCAACCUCGGGCUUGCAGUGGGUACGGGCAGACUAGAGUGCGGUAGGGGUGACUGGAAUUCCUGGUGUAGCGGUGGAAUGCGCAGAUAUCAGGAGGAACACCGGUGGCGAAGGCAGGUCACUGGGCCGCAACUGACGCUGAGGAGCGAAAGCAUGGGGAGCGAACAGG